rnacentral:rRNA from 1 species
UGCAAGUCGAACGAACUCUGGUAUUGAUUGGUGCUUGCAUCAUGAUUUACAUUUGAGUGAGUGGCGAACUGGUGAGUAACACGUGGGAAACCUGCCCAGAAGCGGGGGAUAACACCUGGAAACAGAUGCUAAUACCGCAUAACAACUUGGACCGCAUGGUCCGAGUUUGAAAGAUGGCUUCGGCUAUCACUUUUGGAUGGUCCCGCGGCGUAUUAGCUAGAUGGUGAGGUAACGGCUCACCAUGGCAAUGAUACGUAGCCGACCUGAGAGGGUAAUCGGCCACAUUGGGACUGAGACACGGCCCAAACUCCUACGGGAGGCAGCAGUAGGGAAUCUUCCACAAUGGACGAAAGUCUGAUGGAGCAACGCCGCGUGAGUGAAGAAGGGUUUCGGCUCGUAAAACUCUGUUGUUAAAGAAGAACAUAUCUGAGAGUAACUGUUCAGGUAUUGACGGUAUUUAACCAGAAAGCCACGGCUAACUACGUGCCAGCAGCCGCGGUAAUACGUAGGUGGCAAGCGUUGUCCGGAUUUAUUGGGCGUAAAGCGAGCGCAGGCGGUUUUUUAAGUCUGAUGUGAAAGCCUUCGGCUCAACCGAAGAAGUGCAUCGGAAACUGGGAAACUUGAGUGCAGAAGAGGACAGUGGAACUCCAUGUGUAGCGGUGAAAUGCGUAGAUAUAUGGAAGAACACCAGUGGCGAAGGCGGCUGUCUGGUCUGUAACUGACGCUGAGGCUCGAAAGUAUGGGUAGCAAACAGGAUUAGAUACCCUGGUAGUCCAUACCGUAAACGAUGAAUGCUAAGUGUUGGAGGGUUUCCGCCCUUCAGUGCUGCAGCUAACGCAUUAAGCAUUCCGCCUGGGGAGUACGGCCGCAAGGCUGAAACUCAAAGGAAUUGACGGGGGCCCGCACAAGCGGUGGAGCAUGUGGUUUAAUUCGAAGCUACGCGAAGAACCUUACCAGGUCUUGACAUACUAUGCAAAUCUAAGAAGAUUAGACGUUCCCUUCGGGGACAUGGAUACAGGUGG